rnacentral:tRNA from 1 species
GCCGGUAUAGCUCAGUUGGUAGAGCAGGGGUUUUGUAAACCUCAGGUCGGGAGUUCGAGUCUCUCUACCGGCACCA